rnacentral:rRNA from 1 species
CGUUGAAACACUUGUUCUCGUACGAUCACUAAAGUUAAGCAACGUCGAGCCUGGUCAGUAGCUAGAUGGGUGCCUGCUUAGGAAUAGCAGCUGCUGUAA